rnacentral:rRNA from 1 species
GUGCCAGCAGCCGCGGUAAUUCCAGCUCCAAUAGCGUAUAUUAAAGUUGUUGCAGUUAAAAAGCUCGUAGUUGAACUUCAGACCUGGUCGGGCGGUCCGCCUCACGGUGUGUACUGUUUGACUGGGCCUUACCUCUUGGUGAGCCGGCGUGCCCUUUAUUGGUGUGCGUCGGGGAACCAGGUCUUUUACCUUGAGAAAAUUAGAGUGUUCAAAGCAGGCUUAUGCCCGAAUACAUUAGCAUGGAAUAAUAAAAUAGGACGUGCGGUUCUAUUUUGUUGGUUUCUAGAGUCGCCGUAAUGAUAAAUAGGGAUAGUUGGGGGCAUUGGUAUUGAGUCGCUAGAGGUGAAAUUCUUGGAUUGACUCAAGACCAACUACUGCGAAAGCUUUUGCCAAGGAUGUUUUCAUUAAUCAAGAACGAAGGUUAGGGGAUCGAAAACGAUCAGAUACCGUUGUAGUCUUAACAGUAAACUAUGCCGACUAGGGAUCGGGCGAUCUCAAUAUUUAUGUGUCGCUCGGCACCUUACGAGAAAUCAAAGUCUUUGUGUUCUGGGGGGAGUAUGGUCGCAAGGCUGAAACUUAAAGGAAUUGACGGAAGGGCACCACCAGGUGUGCAGCCUGCUGCUUAUUUUGACUCAACACGGAGCAACUCACCAGGUCCAGACAUAGCUAGGAUUGACAGAUUGAUAGCUCUUUCAUGAUUUUAUGGGUGGGGGUGCAUGCCCGUUCUUAGUAGUGGAGUGAUUUGUCUAGUUCAAUACGAUAACGAACGAUACUGAACUUGCUAAAUAGCCAGCUUGCUUUUGCUAGUCGUCCGCUUUCUUAGAGGACUGUCAGCGUCUAGCUGACGGAAGUUGA